GUGUAUCAAACGUGUGACCAAGAAGUUCAUGUUUUUCAGAAAAGUGCAUCUGCUCUUCUGGUUAAGAACAAGCUGACACUGGACAUCAAAUACUACAAACUCAGAAUAUCCUCUACUUCACCUCUGCAAGAUGGAGUUUUACACAUUCCCUGUGAAGCCAUGCUUCUAGUUUGAAGUGCUGACACCUGAAGUAGGCUGACAUGUCCUCACCACUCGCUCCCCCUUAUCGGGGACACACAGGCAGCUUCCUCACACAGCAGCCUGGACCAGCGCUGCCACUUUUAACCUGCUUCCUCAGACUAGCGCAGCGGUGUUUUCAUAUUCC
ensembl:lncRNA